rnacentral:rRNA from 1 species
GACGAACGCUGGCGGCGUGCCUAAUACAUGCAAGUAGAACGCUGAAGAGAGGAGCUUGCUCUUCUUGGAUGAGUUGCGAACGGGUGAGUAACGCGUAGGUAACCUGCCUUGUAGCGGGGGAUAACUAUUGGAAACGAUAGCUAAUACCGCAUAACAAUGGAUGACACAUGUCAUUUAUUUGAAAGGGGCAAUUGCUCCACUACAAGAUGGACCUGCGUUGUAUUAGCUAGUAGGUGAGGUAAUGGCUCACCUAGGCGACGAUACAUAGCCGACCUGAGAGGGUGGUCGGCCACACUUGGACUGGGACACGGCCCAGACUCCUACGGGAGGCAGCAGUAGGGAAUCUUCGGCAAUGGGGGCAAACCUGACCGAGCAACGCCGCGGGAGUGAAGAAGGUUCUCGGGUCGUAAAGUUCUGUUGUAAGUCAAGAAAGGGUGGGAGAGUGGAAAGUUCACACUGUGACGGUAGCUUACCAGAAAGGGACGGCUAACUACGUG